UCUCUCCCUGGUAGGUAGAAAUAUCAAUGAAUUUCCCUCCCUAACCAGCCUAGAUAUUUAAACGCAAACUUGUUGUUUGUCUCCAUGGUGUCUAACAUCUCAAAUCAUCACAAACGUUCUCCAGAGUUAUCAGUAGUUUACAGAAUUUCAAUCAUAACAGCAGACAGAUUCAACAGAUUCAACUCUUCGAGACCUUCGUGCUGAGUUCCUGAUCUUCUAUAAUUAUUUUUGCACCGAAAUUUAAAUGAUGGUGAAAAAACGGGCGGCAAGACUGAAGACGAAGAAAAGCUGGGAAGCCGAUAUCCCGGAACUUCGACCCUCCCCCCCCAAAUCGCCAUCGGACCCAGCCUUGGAGGCACUUCGGCAAGCCAGGGGGAUUGAGCCGCUGAGGAUCCACAGGCGCAGCGUCGUGGAGUACCGGGAGAUUUACCGAUGCGUCGUGGAGCCGAUGCUGCUCUAUCCUUCUGGCCGGGCUCGGCCUUACUCCCUCGAGUUGGGGCGCAAGAUUAAGCAGCGCCUCUGGGUGGCAGUCUCCCGCCCGAAAUUAACGGAAUUG